GGGGAAUUAGCUCAAACAGUAGCGCACUCGCUUAGCAAGCGAGAGGUAGCGGGACUGAUGCCCGCAUUCUCCA
rnacentral:tRNA from 1 species